rnacentral:rRNA from 1 species
UACGAAGGGGGAGCUAGCGUUGCUCGGAAUGACUGGGCGUAAAGGGCGCGUAGGCGGAUGGCACAGUCAGAUGUGAAAUUCCCGGGCUUAACCUGGGGGGCUGCAUUUGAUACGUGUUGUCUUGAGUUCGGAAGAGGGUCGUGGAAUUCCCAGUGUAGAGGUGAAAUUCGUAGAUAUUGGGAAGAACACCGGUGGCGAAGGCGGCGACCUGGUCCGACACUGACGCUGAGGCGCGAAAGCGUGGGGAGCAAACAGG